AUGCAGGCAACAUGGUAUCAACCGCUGGCCUUCUCGAAAAAUCAAGAAAGUUAAUCACUCUUUGAGGAAACUCCAACUAGUAGUCAACUCCAUCCAUGGUGCAGAGGGCCUCAUUCAGAUGGAUUCCUUUUGUAAAGGCUUCCAAGAAUUGAGCUCACCAAAUUUUUUUGGGAAGGAUCCUUUUUCAUCGUCCAAGAUUUGUGAAAAUUCCAAAAGAUUAAAACCCCAACCAGAGGGGGGCCUGCUCAGUCCCAGAGGCACAGAUUCAAAAUCUCAGUCCUCUUCGAGCAGUCAGAAUUCUGGUUCAGCCAUCUAUUGUUCCAAUGAAGAAAAGCAGCUUACCACCAACAAUGGCCUGAAUACUGGAUCUUCUUUAGCAAUAGAAGACCCUGUCCUGGAGCUGAGGAGAACUUAUAGUAAAGCAGAACUGUAUUCCCUGAAUCAGGAGGAACCAAAGAUUUUACGACCCUUACCAAAAGCUCCUGGCCAUAGUUUACGAGAUGGUGUGGUCUUCAGAGUCAAAGCCACAUAUGGAGAAGAAAAUGUACGAUUCGGCUUCCUGCCAAAUUGGGGUUUCAAGGACUUGCAGCAAGAGAUUGCAAAGCGUUUCAAAAUAGAUGAUUUCAGCAGAAUUGAUCUCAAGUAUUUAGACAUUGAUCAUGAGCCUGUUCUUUUGACCUGUGAUGCUGAUCUUGAGGAGUGU
rnacentral:misc_RNA from 1 species